rnacentral:rRNA from 1 species
GACGAACGCUGGCGGCGUGCUUAACACAUGCAAGUCGAACGGAAAGGCCCUGCUUGCAGGGUGCUCGAGUGGCGAACGGGUGAGUAACACGUGGGUGAUCUGCCCCUUACUUUGGGAUAAGCCCGGGAAACUGGGUCUAAUACUGGAUGGGACCAUGCUGUAGGUGGUGUGGUGGAAAGAUUAGUUUCGGUAAGGGAUGAGCUCGCGGCCUAUCAGCUUGUUGGUGGGGUAAUGGCCUACCAAGGCGUCGACGGGUAGCCGGCCUGAGAGGGUGGACGGCCACAUUGGGACUGAGAUACGGCCCAGACUCCUACGGGAGGCAGCAGUGGGGAAUAUUGCACAAUGGGCGCAAGCCUGAUGCAGCGACGCCGCGUGGGGGAUGACGGCCUUCGGGUUGUAAACUCCUUUCAGCCAUGACGAAGCCCUUGUGGUGACGGUAGUGGUAGAAGAAGCACCGGCUAACUACGUG